rnacentral:rRNA from 1 species
GAUGAACGCUGGCGGCGUGCCUAAUACAUGCAAGUCGAGCGAACAGAUUAGGAGUUUGCUCCUCCGACGUUAGCGGCGGACGGGUGAGUAACACGUGGAUAACCUACCUAUAAGACUGGGAUAACUUCGGGAAACCGGAGCUAUUACCGUAGAAUAUAGUGAACCGCAUUGUUCAAUAGUGAAAUAUGGUUUUGCUGUCACUUAUAGAUGUAUCCGCGCCGCAUUAGCUAGUUGGUAAGGUAACGGCUUACCAAGUCAACGAUGGGUAGCCGACGGGAGAGAGGGAUAGGCGACACUGGAGCGGAGACAGGGACAAGACGCCUGCGGGAGGCAGCAGAAGGGAAUGUGCCGCAGUGGGCGAAAGUCUGACGGAACAGGGCGGAGCGAGUGAUGAAGGUGCCGGGAGCGUGAAACUCUGUUAUUAGUGAAGAACAAAUGUGUAAGUAAAUGUGCACGUCUUGACGGUACCUGGAGAGAAAGCACCGGCUAACUACGUG